CUGUGAUGGAUUACGGUAUACGAUUGAAUGCCCUGUGGGAGAAGUUAUCAACAUCCAGGAAGCGUUUUAUAUUCAAGAAGAGGAAGGUACGUGUUUGGAUGCUAAUCAGCCAUUGACAGACACCAAUUGCUCCUCAUCCGUAGCUCUGGACAGAUACGGAAACCUCUGUAAUGAUAAAAACACAUGUAUGGUGACAGACAGCGAGAGUAUGACAGAAGAAGAUCCUUGUUCAGAUUCCUACCAGUAUGCCCGGAUCAGAUACACCUGUAUCGCUUCUGGUCUUUGUUCUGGUGAUCCCUGUUAUGGCGGCCAAUGUGAUUCCUCCAGUGGUUCUGUUGUAUGCACCAACUGUCCAGAAGGGAAAAUAGGGCCUCGUUGUGAGGUAGAUGGAGUCAUCAUCUGUGAGGGAUCUUCAUAUACUAUUGAAUGUCCCUGCGGGAGAUGUUAUCAACAUCCAGGAGGCAUUUUAUGGCAGAGAAGAUCAAAGCACGUGCCCGGGUACUAAUGAACCAGCCAUUAACAGAUACCAAUUGCUCCUCUCUCGUAGCUCUGGAGGGAUACGGAAACCUCUGUAAUGAUAAACAUACCUGUUUGGUGACAGCCAGUAACAGUGUGACCGGAGAUCCGUGUCUUGGUACCUACAAAUAUGCACGGAUCAGAUACACAUGUAUUGAUGUAUGCCAUCGAAACCUCUGCGCAGGAAGUUUACUGUUUCGUCAUUGCAACCCGUGCCCCCAUAAUGCAUGUAACAAUUGUACCGAUAGUCAGAGUGAAAUACAGAAGAAAUAUUGUUCACCUUGUUGCAUUGGAUAUACUGGAAAAUGCAGAAAAGGAGGAAACGAUGAGUGCAGGACAUACUACUGCUCCUGGCAAUAGACAUAAAUGUAAAACCGCCGCGACUGAACCAACUGAACCACGCCGUGCUCCUGGACCAUGUUAUAUGCCAUGCUUUAGUGCUCACUUAUUUUCCAUUGGACUUACGUUCCAUUAUUUACUUCCAACUUCCAUUGCUGAUGCUCCCACAAGAGAAUCGAAAUCAUAUAUUACUAUAUGAUACGUCAUCAUUCCUUUUCUUGAACAUUCAUUUGAAACUUGCACAGAACUCCGCAAUCUCGUUAAUUUGCUCGCGUCUAAAAAAAAAUUUAAUCUUGUGUUGACGUUAAGAAUUUAAAUUUUCCACAAAAAGCAACUUUACUGGUACACAACGAUUGGUAACUUACAAAUGUAGAAUUGUGUGAUCUCAAAACGUUACACGAUGUGUGCAUGAUUCCACAACUGUAUAAAUGAACAAUAUUUACAUGUUUAUGUACACAUACUUUUUGGUCGACACAGAAAACAAGCAUUUUAGGAAAAGGACUUGCCGCGACUUUCCAAACCCUGGUUAAUGCAUAUGCGUACCUUUGUAACAAGUGCAGUAACGCCAUUACAGAGAAAAUCGGAAAAGGAUUUUCACAAUUGUAGUUUUUUUUUAUAUAUUGCUGGUCUUGAAUACCACUUAAUUAUAUAUCAACACAAAAAGAAAUGUCUAAUAUUACCAACGCGAAAAAAAAAUAUGAGCACGUUAUGAAAUAACGAAUUGGGAAAAUGUAGGUAGAUCAGGCUAAGUAGAACUUGCUGGAAUCUGAAACCAGUUGCACAGUGUUCUCGCUUGCGGUGUCGUUAUAUACAAAACAGAGUCCAAAUAGCUUACUGAUAUAUAAUAUUAUGAACCGUCUGUGGUGCGGAAAUCGAGUUGAAAUCAACAAGCCACUUAUAUUUUUACCCACAUCGUCAUGUUGGCUUUCUCUCUUGAUAACUAAUGAUAUUAAUUGCUUGGAGGUAGACAGGAUUUAUUUUCAUAAAAAAGAACAAGGUACGUGUACUUGAUAAUUGCCGAAAAAUAAAAUUCAAAAACCUUUAAAAAUGCUAUUUCCUAAAUGUUUGAAAAAAGUUAAUCUUUCUUAAUAUUUUCUUUUUGUUUAAUAUUUCAUUGUUUUUUGUUUUGUACUAUUUUCUUAAGCAUAAUAAAUAGCACGGUCUGAAAAUAUUUGUAUGUGCGUUAUCCUUCGGCUUUGGAAACGUUAUCCUCCACAAAUGUCUGAAGUCUAUUAUCGUCCGUGCCCUGCUUCUAUCGUCGAUGAUAAAUAACGAUUACAAACUUGUAAACUAUACUGAUGUGUUUA